rnacentral:rRNA from 1 species
UACCAGCAGCUCAAGUGGUGAUCAAUAUUAUUGGGCCUAAAGCGUCCGUAGCCGGUCUGGUAAACCCUUGGGUAAAUCGGGCAGCUUAACUGUCCGAAUUCUGAGGAGACUGCCAGACUUGGGACCGGGAGAGGUCAGAGGUACUCCUGGGGUAGGGGUGAAAUCCUGUAAUCCUAUGGGGACCACCAGUGGCGAAGGCGUCUGAUCAGAACGGGUCCGACGGUAAGGGACGAAGCCCUGGGGCACAAACCGGAUUAGAUACCCGGGUAGUCCAGGGUGUAAACGCUGCAGGCUUGGUGUUGGGGGUCCUACGAGGGCACUCAGUGCCGUAGAGAAGUUGUUAAGCCUGCCGCCUGGGGAGUACGUCCGCAAGGAUGAAACUUAAAGGAAUUGGCGGGGAGCACCGCAACGGGUGGAGCGUGCGGUUU